rnacentral:rRNA from 1 species
AGCAGUAGCCGCGGGAAUACGUAGGGUGCAAGCGUUAAUCGGAAUUACUGGGCGUAAAGCGUGCGCAGGCGGUUUGUUAAGACAGAUGUGAAAUCCCCGGGCUCAACCUGGGAACUGCAUUUGUGACUGGCAAGCUAGAGUGUGGCAGAGGGGGGUGGAAUUCCGCGUGUAGCAGUGAAAUGCGUAGAUAUGCGGAGGAACACCGAUGGCGAAGGCAGCCCCCUGGGCCAACACUGACGCUCAUGCACGAAAGCGUGGGGAGCAAACAGGAUUAGAGACCCCAGUAGUCCCUGUCUCUUAUAC